UCAUGAUUUUCAAAUUGUUAAAUGGUUUUAUCCUGUGAGUAGUUAUUGUAUAGGUACUCUUAACUCGUAGCUUGUCAGAAUGCCAGUGGCUGAAAGUAUUUGCUAGUGUUCUUUAUUUUGCUACCAUUUGCUAAUCUAACGGACAGAAGUUUGAGUGGUAGGAAGCAGAACCUCAGACUCAGAGAACAUGCACCAUCUUGAAUUCUUGAGGCAUGAG
rnacentral:misc_RNA from 1 species